AGCCCCAGCUCAGCCUGCUGAGCCAUGGAGAGGAGUCUCGUUUCCAUCAGUUCUUCUCGGGCCUCUGAGCUUGGAGUGAGAUGAGAUCUGCCCUGGAUCCAGUAGCCUGGGCCCU
ensembl:miRNA